rnacentral:rRNA from 1 species
GUAGGUGGCAAGCGUUGUCCAGAAUUACUGGGCGUAAAGCGCGCGCAGGCGGUUCUUUAAGUCUGAUGUGAAAGCCCACGGCUCAACCGUGGAGGGUCAUUGGAAACUGGAGAACUUGAGUACAGAAGAGGAAAGCGGAAUUCCACGUGUAGCGGUGAAAUGCGUAGAGAUGUGGAGGAACACCAGUGGCGAAGGCGGCUUUCUGGCCUGUAACUGACGCUGAGGCGCGAAAGCGUGGGGGAGCAAACAGGAUUAGAUACCCUGGUAGUCCACGCCGUAAACGAUGAGUGCUAAGUGUUAGGGGGUUUUCCGCCCCUUAGUGCUGCAGCUAACGCAUUAAGCACUCCGCCUGGGAGUACGGCCGCAAGGCUG